UGCUAUACAUGCAAGUCGAACGAACUCUGGUAUUGAUUGGUGCUUGCAUCAUGAUUUACAUUUGAGUGAGUGGCGAACUGGUGAGUAACACGUGGGAAACCUGCCCAGAAGCGGGGGAUAACACCUGGAAACAGAUGCUAAUACCGCAUAACAACUUGGACCGCAUGGUCCGAGCUUGAAAGAUGGCUUCGGCUAUCACUUUUGGAUGGUCCCGCGGCGUAUUAGCUAGAUGGUGGGGUAACGGCUCACCAUGGCAAUGAUACGUAGCCGACCUGAGAGGGUAAUCGGCCACAUUGGGACUGAGACACGGCCCAAACUCCUACGGGAGGCAGCAGUAGGGAAUCUUCCACAAUGGACGAAAGUCUGAUGGAGCAACGCCGCGUGAGUGAAGAAGGGUUUCGGCUCGUAAAACUCUGUUGUUAAAGAAGAACAUAUCUGAGAGUAACUGUUCAGGUAUUGACGGUAUUUAACCAGAAAGCCACGGCUAACUACGUGCCAGCAGCCGCGGUAAUACGUAGGUGGCAAGCGUUGUCCGGAUUUAUUGGGCGUAAAGCGAGCGCAGGCGGUUUUUUAAGUCUGAUGUGAAAGCCUUCGGCUCAACCGAAGAAGUGCAUCGGAAACUGGGAAACUUGAGUGCAGAAGAGGACAGUGGAACUCCAUGUGUAGCGGUGAAAUGCGUAGAUAUAUGGAAGAACACCAGUGGCGAAGGCGGCUGUCUGGUCUGUAACUGACGCUGAGGCUCGAAAGUAUGGGUAGCAAACAGGAUUAGAUACCCUGGUAGUCCAUACCGUAAACGAUGAAUGCUAAGUGUUGGAGGGUUUCCGCCCUUCAGUGCUGCAGCUAACGCAUUAAGCAUUCCGCCUGGGGAGUACGGCCGCAAGGCUGAAACUCAAAGGAAUUGACGGGGGCCCGCACAAGCGGUGGAGCAUGUGGUUUAAUUCGAAGCUACGCGAAGAACCUUACCAGGUCUUGACAUACUAUGCAAAUCUAAGAGAUUAGACGUUCCCUUCGGGGACAUGGAUACAGGUGGUGCAUGGUUGUCGUCAGCUCGUGUCGUGAGAUGUUGGGUUAAGUCCCGCAACGAGCGCAACCCUUAUUAUCAGUUGCCAGCAUUAAGUUGGGCACUCUGGUGAGACUGCCGGUGACAAACCGGAGGAAGGUGGGGAUGACGUCAAAUCAUCAUGCCCCUUAUGACCUGGGCUACACACGUGCUACAAUGGAUGGUACAACGAGUUGCGAACUCGCGAGAGUAAGCUAAUCUCUUAAAGCCAUUCUCAGUUCGGAUUGUAGGCUGCAACUCGCCUACAUGAAGUCGGAAUCGCUAGUAAUCGCGGAUCAGCAUGCCGCGGUGAAUACGUUCCCGGGCCUUGUACACACCGCCCGUCACACCAUGAGAGUUUGUAACACCCAAAGUCGGUGGGGUAACCUUUUAGGAACCAGCCGCCUAAGGUGACAGGUU
rnacentral:rRNA from 1 species